AAACAAGUGUGUGAGAGAUGGAUAGAAAGUGUCAGUGAACAAGCGAGAGAAGUCCUAAAGUCGAGCAUCAGACGAGACAGUGUCCUCAACAGGUCAGUGGACUUACCGGGAGGAGAAUGUCCAAACCUUCGUCCAACGUCAAAGCCCUUCAGGCUAAUUUGAACAUCCCGAUGGGAGCGCUGCGUCCAGGGGCGGGACAUCCUGUCAAGAGGAGAGAGGAGACAGUCGACACAGAAGAGUCACCGGACGACCCGCCGGGCGCCGCCGCCCAGACGCCCGAGGAGAAGAAGGCGGCGCCGGGCGCGGCGAAGCUGGCCGGGCCGGCCGUCAACCUGUCGGAGCUGCAGAACGUCAAGAGCGAGCUGCGCUACGUCACCAAGGACUGACGGCAGCACGUGGGUGGAGGAGCGAGAGGCACUCAGACACACUCUGCUCCUCUUUUACAGCUCGUUGAAACCAGAACCCAAAAGCCAGGCGAAGAGGAAGGCACAACAAUCUUCACCGACACAGACUUGCCCACUGCCACCGAAGCUUCGAGCCGGCCGUAAACUAAUCCUCACGCGGCUGGGAAACGGAAACACAUCUUUCUUUUUUUAGCGUCCACAGAAAACAAAUUCCAGCCAAGAAGCAGGAAUCCAUUUUUUCUUUCCUCCAAUAGAUUUUUUUUUUAAACACGACAUAUACAGAUAUAUUGAUAUGUUUCCAUUCACCAGAUUGAUAAAUCACAAAAUUCUACAAAAAAAGGUGAAAUUACGUUGAGAUGGAGCGAGAUAUUCUGGAUUGAAGAAGACUCUACCUGGACGUUGAGGAGGAAGCUGUGUUGCAGUCACAUCUGAUUCUUGAGCACAUUCUUUGGAUUGUUUUGUAGUUUUUGGGGGUAUUUUUAAGUCUGAAGUCGCUGGUUUUGAAGGACGCUUGUUGACAAUCGAUACGCAUUGAAGGGAUUCCCCUUUGUUUUCCAUACUGUCAAACUACAACUAUUCAGCACUGAUUUAUACUGAUACUUUCUAUUAAAUUAUUCAUUUCUAAAUGUUGUAACAAUUUGAGACAGUGAGAUGGGAUUCAGGUUCGAAGUUUUUGAAGUAGGAAUUUGAUGUUUUACUUGUUUUAUUUGUUGAUGUGAUUCCCAGAAACUGAAAUCUUCAGGAAAAUGUUGCAAUAAAACAAAAUAUUUCUGAAAAUCCAAA